UGCAAACUUCUUCCGCGGUCGCGGCAAAACUUGGCCGAAGAAGAAAAAUCAAAGCGGAGGGGGCGAAACCGGCAGAUCCACCGCUGCCUGCAUCCCCGGACCCGGCUGCCAGCAGGCCCCAACCCAGGAUCGCGGGACCAGAGCUCGGGAUCCCGCCAUCCCCACCCCCGAUCUCGCAAGAAGCAAAGUGCGGGCAGCCGGCGCCAAGCGGCCGGGAACAAAGCAGCCAUGCAGGCACACGCGUGCACGCAGGCGAGAGCACCUCCCCCCGCGAGCGCCCCGCAGCCGGGGGAGCGGAGGCAGCUAGAUUAAGCCUUUCUAAUGACACCAGAAAAAGAGCACAUCAGCAGACCUGUAACCCUGGUAUCGGAAAA